GAUGAACGCUGGCGGCGUGCCUAAUACACGCCAGUCGAGCGAACAGACGAGGAGCUUGCUCCUCUGACGUUAGCGGCGGACGGGUGAGUAACACGUGGAUAACCUACCUAUAAGACUGGGAUAACUUCGGGAAACCGGAGCUAAUACCGGAUAACAUGUUGAACCGCAUGGUUCAACAGUGAAAGACGGUCUUGCUGUCACUUAUAGAUGGAUCCGCGCCGCAUUAGCUAGUUGGUAAGGUAACGGCUUACCAAGGCAACGAUGCGUAGCCGACCUGAGAGGGUGAUCGGCCACACUGGAACUGAGACACGGUCCAGACUCCUACGGGAGGCAGCAGUAGGGAAUCUUCCGCAAUGGGCGAAAUCCUGACGGAGCAACGCCGCGUGAGUGAAGAAGGUCUUCGGAUCGUAAAACUCUGUUAUUAGGGAAGAACAAAUGUGUAAGUAACUAUGCACGUCUUGACGGUACCUAAUCAGAAAGCCACGGCUAACUACGUG
rnacentral:rRNA from 1 species